GAACACGUGCUGGUUGGACUUGUUUUAUUCACCAAUCAAAAUGACUUUUAGAAUACUUAUUUUUAUGAAGACAGUUUCUAUUGGUUAGAUCUCUUUUUAUCUAAUUUACAUUUUUACAUAAUUUGGGGUUACUAUUUUUAAUUACUUAAUACCUUGUUUUUACGGCCAUUAGGGAAAUCCGAUUAUUUCGGUUAGAUAGAAUUCUAAGUGAACAAUGGUAAAGAAUUAGAUAU
rnacentral:lncRNA from 1 species